UCCCCACAGUGGCCUUGGGGGAGAUGGCUCAGAUUUUGUACCCUGUGAACCUUCCCCUUGCUCACUUUCUCCCUUUCCAGCAGUCUAGCCCUGUCUCUGUUCCCUUAACUCUCCCUGCUUGCUCACUUCAUCCCCUGUGUUUCCAUCGGGAUCUCAUUCUUCUUGUUUGCCCUGCUGGAUCUGGCCGAGGGAGUGGCCCACCAGGUCAGACCAUCCUCCCUGGGCCAGCUCCUCUUCAAACACCAUGAGUUCUCCGUUACUUGCCACAGUGAUUCAGUGACAAAUAUCACUUCCACAGAGCAACAAUGAGGUCUCCAAGAGAAGUCCUGAAUACAAGAAAAUACCGAAAUGAAGGUUAUCGGAGUAGAAUACCAUCCAGACACAGCCUUGGCCUAUCAAGAUUCAUACAUAGAAGGAAUCUAGACUUUCAAGGAUCAAAGCCCCUGAGGAAACACUAGAUAAAAAGGACAGGAAGACAUCUUGCAAUUCUUAAGUAACACCCCAGUAAAAUGUUGAUAAGUAUCAUAAUUAUCCUAGUUCCCUUGACAUCAAGAGUAACUCUUGGGUGCAUAAACAUGUACCCAAAUUCAUAUUCAAUGAAGAUGCUUUCCUGGCACUGCCGCCUUCUUGCUUGAAAGAGUACGUCUGUAUCUACUUUACAAUAAAUUCUACCUAUAUUUCUGCA